GAGAGCUACCACACCCAGGUAGAAAACUAAAAGUUUUCAUAACUCUGUUGGCAACAAAACCUGACCUGAACUGAGAAAACCUACAACAAAUACACGGUGCUGAGAUUAUCACCAGCAAUAUCCCAGAACUCAAAUAUGAAGAUGGAACAGUGCCCGUGGCAACAAAGAAGUAAAAAACUUCAAGCAGACGCUGUAAGAAUCAGACUUCCAAAUCCGUGACAUCCCUCUCCCAAAUCUGCCUAGCACCAAGCAUGUGGAAAACUUCCCCCACCUCACCGCCAGUUUCUACACUGGAAAAAGUGAGAUUGAAGUGGAUAACCAGUUUCCCCACCAUCUUGGAUUCCCUGGCAAGAGAUCUGUCCCUAAGUACUUAAAGGGAGAAAUAUUCCCAAAGACAACCAGAGAAAAAGUGGGGAGGUGGGACUUCCUUCCCCAACCCUAGAAACACUCUUCUUUAACUCAGCCAAAGGAGACGCCAAAUCAGCGAAGCUGGUCAGCAGCGACACACCAUAGGAGGUAUGUUCCACAGGUUCCCUGAGCACGAAAUUCUAGCCAGACUUCCCACCCUAUUGGGAUAUCCCCCGUAAGACCUUCUACAUUUGGGUCCGGCAGUGCUCCAGUCAUUUACUAGGGCCAAGGAAAACCUGGACUGCAGACUCCAUGUGAUGUCAGAAAGAAGGCAAGACCAAGAGGGCGAAAAAAAAG
rnacentral:lncRNA from 10 species